AUGCCACUUCUCUGGCAUGUGCUGAUUCAGUGGGCUUCCAGCAUCAGCACUGGGAAACUUCAAACUGAGCCAAUGCCUCUGAAAUUAAUGGGUCUUGUUCCACUGACCGAGGGUGGCCCUGGCUGCACCGUGUGCCUUGUGCAGACCUGCAGACUGAGAAGCACUGAGCUGUAGCCCACAUUUACGCAUCUGAGCUUCAUUGCUUCAGCCAGUCCCGUGACAAAACCAGGUAUUAUGUUCUCCUACAACUAGUGACAGCAAUUUCUUUUUAUCUUGUGCCAGAGUCAUGACUCUUGGACUGUAAGUGAACAUGUUCCUCAAGUUACAGUGAGUGGUCAGAACUGACUACUUGUGUUGGCACCCAGGUAUAUUUAAUGAGUCUCAGAGACUUGUGUUCAUGUAUUGUUUCUCAGAGGCUGAAAUUGAUGUUUAGCAUAUUGUUGACCAAAUUUUCUCUGACACGACUUGGGACAAAUUAGUGUUACUAUUUCAUUUAGAAGCUUCAAGGGCAUGAAUAAAUAACAGGUUUUGCACA
rnacentral:lncRNA from 1 species